GCUACGCUGCCGCUGUGGAGAGGGGGCAACAAGCUCUUCUCCCUGACACUCUCCCUGCUGGGGGAGAGGGGAACCGACUGUCUCCCCAUCCUGGGGAGGGAGGAUGGCACCUUCGGUUCCCUGGGACUCACUUGACUGCUGAGGAGAGGGACCAACUGUCACCUCUCCUAAGAACACACACGGCCGCUGGGGAGGACGGGCGACACCUUCAGCUCCCUGGGACACACACUGCCGCUGGGGAGGAAGGACGACACCUUCAGCCC